rnacentral:rRNA from 1 species
UUGCUAGUAAUCACAGGUCAGCAUACUGUGGUGAAUACGUUCCCGGGCCUUGUACACACCGCCCGUCACACCAUGAGAGUUGAGAAUACCCGAAGCCCAUGUCAAAGUGGUCGAAGGUAGGCUUGAUGAUUGGGGUGAAGUCGUAACAAGGUACC